rnacentral:snoRNA from 1 species
ACGACCUUACUUGAACAGGAUCUGUUCUAUAGGUUGUACAACUGUGUCCUUGAGUGUGAAGGAGACAGACAACAAAGUCUGGGUGAUGAAACACGACCUCAGGGCCAGAGCGUGAUUGACAGCCCAGAUCUCCCGAGAUCGGCGAGGCUGUAGAGGAUCGUUUCCGGCAGGUCUCAUGGCCGGCUGGGAUGGUCCUGAGGUUGUCUGACAGACU